AAAACAUUUCUUUAUGAUUAUAAUUAUAAGUAGACUCUGCCCAGUGAAUUUUAAAUGGCUGCAGUAUAUUGACUGUACAAAGGUAGCAUAAUCAAUUGUUCUUUAAUUAAGAUCUUGGAUGAAAGAGGUGAUGAAUUAAAAACUUUAUUUAAAAUAUAACUUGAAUUUAAAUUUAAAGUAAAAAUUCUUUAAUAAAUUUAUGGGACGAGAAGACCCUAUAGAAUUUUAUUAUUUUUAUUUAAUUAUAUUAAUUUAAAUUUAUUUAAAAAUAAUUUAUUUGGGAGGAAUAGUAAAUUUAUAAACUUUAUUAAUUUAUAAACAAAUAUUAUUGAUUUAUUUGAUUUUAUAUAAAUAAAUUUUAAAUUAAAUUACCUUAGGGAUAACAGCAUAAUAUUUUUGGAAAGAUCAUAUUUAUAAAAAUGUUU
rnacentral:rRNA from 1 species